GUACUCCCUUUAUACCAGGCACCUUGCUGGGCACCUUAGUUUGUUUUUAUUUAGUGGCCGCAGCAGUGCUAAGAGAGAAAAUGAAAACUCAGGAAUUGCCGCGUCUGACCGUUCCUUCUAUGCCCCUCAAGCAGAAGACUGAAGCCCCUUGGAGACCACAACUGGUCCAAAGGAUUCCACACGACCAGCGUGGUGGCCAAGCCCUGGGCCGGCCUGCCCUCCUACUGACCAUGCCACUAACCGACUUCGGCCUUGAUGAAAACUACUGCACCCCACCAACCCGACCUCAGGACAAAGAAAGCACCGUGUUCCAGGUCCUAAAAGGUGAGGAGGGAUAUACUGAUGAUACAGUCCCGGGUAGCAGAAUGGUCCUUGAAAUGUGGGGCUGAGGGAGAGCCCGAUACCGUAACAUAACCUGUGAGGCUGUUGGAAGGCUUAUGUGUUUCACGGUAUCUAUAUUUCAGGGAGGGCCUGACCCCACCUUCAGCUAUUCUCUUGGGGUAAGGAGGUAAGAAUUUGCUAACACACAAAUCAAUCCCACCGUAGCGAUUUAUGCCAUGUGAUCGGCAUUCGGGCACUUCGCAAACAUGUUCGAGGCAUUCGCUACCUGCCAGGAAGUGUGCUGUGUGCUGGGACCUGAACAGUGAGCCACACAGGCAUGGUUGCUGCCCUUUAAGAACUUGCAGUCUAGCGGGGAAGACAGGCGUUAGUUAACUAAGGAACUACGAAAAAUAAGUACACAGUCGCCAAGAAGCCCAGAGUUGGAGAAUGCAGGGGAAUCCAGCCUGGGAUGGGCAUUUGUGAGGGUGUCAUGAUCCCACUGUGAGCCCAGUAAGGUAUCAGCCAAGUGUAAGAGGAGGAGAGGAGGUCUCUAGGCUGAGGAAACAGCAUAUGUAAGCGACCAGGGAGGGCUGUUUCUGGCAACCGUACAUAUUUUGCUUUUCAAAAUAGAAAUUUUUUUCUUUUUGAGUUUUUUUGAAAAUUUAUUUUGAGAGACACAGAGAAAGAGAGUGAGCAGGGGGAGGGGCAGAGAGAAAGGGAGAGAGAGAAUCCCAAGCAGGCUCCGCACUGUCAGCACAGAGCCUGAUGCGGAACUUGAACUCAUGACCGGUGAGAUCAUGACCUGAGCAGAAAUCCAGAGUCCCACGCUGAAGCAACUGCUCCCCCCAC
rnacentral:lncRNA from 1 species